rnacentral:rRNA from 1 species
CUACGGGUCGCUCCAGUGGGGAAUAUUGGACAAUGGGGGAAACCCUGAUCCAGCAAUGCCGCGUGUGUGAAGAAGGCCUGCGGGUUGUAAAGCACUUUCGGUUGGGAGGACUGCUUCUAGCACUAAUAUUGUUGGAAGUUGACGUUACCUUCAGAAGAAGCACCGGCUAACUCCGUGCCAGCAGCCGCGGUAAUACGGAGGGUGCAAGCGUGAAGCGGAAUUACUGGGCGUAAAGCGCGCGUAGGCGGCUAGAUCAGUCGGGGGUGAAAGCCCCGGGCUUAACCUGGGAACUGCAUCCGAUACUGUCUAGCUUGAGUACAGGAGAGGAGAGUGGAAUUCCACAUGUAGCGGUGAAAUGCGUAGAUAUGUGGAGGAGCACCAAUGGCGAAGGCAGCUCUCUGGCCUGAUACUGACGCUGAGGUGCGAAAGCGUGGGGAGCAAACAGGAUUAGAUACCCCAGUAGUC